GAUGAACGCUGGCGGCGUGCUUAACACAUGCAAGUCGAACGGUGAAGGCGGAGCUUGCUCUGCUGGAUCAGUGGCGAACGGGUGAGUAACACGUGAGCAAUCUGCCCCUGACUCUGGGAUAAGCGCUGGAAACGGCGUCUAAUACUGGAUACGAGCUGCGAAGGCAUCUUCAGCAGCUGGAAAGAAUUUCGGUCAGGGAUGAGCUCGCGGCCUGUCAGCUUGUUGGUGAGGUAAUGGCUCACCAAGGCGUCGACGGGUAGCCGGCCUGAGAGGGUGACCGGCCACACUGGGACUGAGACACGGCCCAGACUCCUACGGGAGGCAGCAGUGGGGAAUAUUGCACAAUGGGCGAAAGCCUGAUGCAGCAACGCCGCGUGAGGGACGACGGCCUUCGGGUUGUAAACCUCUUUUAGCAGGGAAGAAGCGAAAGUGACGGUACCUGCAGAAAAAGCGCCGGCUAACUACGUG
rnacentral:rRNA from 1 species